UAUUCCGUGUGAAGUUACCGGGAGGCCGGCUUUGAACACUGUUACCAGCACACGGCGCAGAAUAUCACGAGCAAAGCUAAUGUGGCGUCGGACGGUGCCUCUGCCGCUGAAUAUUUGACUUUCCGUGCACAUAUGCUUUGCCCGACGAACAGUUAUACAGUGAAUCGACAGAUUUAUCGGAUACAGGUCCGGAUGAGGUGCCCGAAGAGUACAGAUGCGUUCCAGGGAAGACUUUCCGGAUGGAAUGCAACUCGUGCGUCUGCUUUGGCGACGGGGAUAUGCGGAACGCUGGCUGCACCAGGAGACUCUGUCCUCCAGGCUCAUGGCGCAGGCGAUGAAAUUCGUGUCCAUGGGUUCUUCAUGACCACUAUGGUGUUUGGUUGGUGGUUCAGUGCGUCUUCCAUGAAGGGUCAAGCUUUGUUCUCCAGUCUAAAACACACGAAGAACAGGAUAAUAUUUCAAUAUGUAAAGAGAAUUCAUUUGUUGCAGCUUGAGUGUAUACCUUUAAUUAGCUUCUGAACGCUUAACACUAGUCUAUUUGUGAAUGUUCAUCGUGAUUGGUAGA